ACAGCAGGUCGCCUUAUCGCUUCAAACUUGUUUUGAAGAGGAAAGUCCGGGCACCAUAGGGAAGUAUAGCGGCUAACGGCCGUCAUUUCUAAUAGCUUUGCUAAAGGAAAGAGGACUAGUGCAACAGAAAGUAUGUACAGGUUAUGCUGUAGUGAAACCAGGUAAACUCUAUACGGUGAAAUGCCACGUAUACCAGCAAUUAAGGGUUCCCGCCCAUGCUGGAGGGUGGGCAGAUGGAGUGUAUCUGUAAAGAUGCACCUAGAUAAAUGAUGAGGAAUUUUUGGCAUAAGCCAAAUUGAACAGAACCCGGCUUAUAGACCUGCUUUUUUU
rnacentral:RNase_P_RNA from 1 species